UGUUUCUCCGGUUUGUGUGUGGCCUCAUUCCGGCAAUGGAGAAGGCCAAGGACAGAAAGGUCAGUAUAGGAAAGGGAAGGGGAGUUAAAAUGGUUAGCAAACAGGCGAUCCAGCAGGCCUUACUCUAUGCUUAGACG